rnacentral:lncRNA from 1 species
ACGAACGAAAUAGUUUGAGAGAAUAAGGGUUUUAGUCUUAUGUGGUCAUGUGUAGUGUGAGCCAUUCAUUCAUCCAUAGAUGAUUGAAUUGGACUGACUUUUGAGUUGUAAUUUGUCCACUCUAAGCUUUGAAGCAUGAGUGUGUGUUUACUUGGUUGAAGCUUUUAAGCAAGAUCAAGUAUGUGUUCUUGAAGAGUGUCUUUUUUCAUUGUAAUAUUUGUUUUUACACCACUGCUGUGAUUGAGGGGGAGUGAGUAG